UGGGGAAUUUUGCACAAUGGGGGAAACCCUGAUGCAGCGACGCCGCGUGAUUUAGAAGGCCUUCGGGUUGUAAAAAUCUUUUGUAUGGGAAGAAAAUGACAGUACCAUACGAAUAAGGACCGGCUAAUUCCGUGCCAGCAGCCGCGGUAAUACGGAAGGUCCAGGCGUUAUCCGGAUUUAUUGGGUUUAAAGGGAGCGUAGGCUGGAGAUUAAGUGUGUUGUGAAAUGUAGACGCUCAACGUCUGAAUUGCAGCGCAUACUGGUUUCCUUGAGUACGCACAACGUUGGCGGAAUUCGUCGUGUAGCGGUGAAAUGCUUAGAUAUGACGAAGAACUCCGAUUGCGAAGGCAGCUGACGGGAGCGCAACUGACGCUUAAGCUCGAAGGUGCGGGUAUCAAACAGG
rnacentral:rRNA from 1 species